rnacentral:rRNA from 1 species
UGAGGAAUAUUGGUCAAUGGGCGCAGGCCUGAACCAGCCAAGUAGCGUGAAGGAUGACUGCCCUAUGGGUUGUAAACUUCUUUUAUAAAGGAAUAAAGUCGGGUAUGUAUACCCGUUUGCAUGUACUUUAUGAAUAAGCAUCGGCUAACUCCGUGCCAGCAGCCGCGGUAAUACGGAGGAUGCGAGCGUUAUCCGGAUUUAUUGGGUUUAAAGGGAGCGUAGACGGGCCGUUAAGUCAGCUGUGAAAGUUUGAGGCUCAACCUUAAAAUUGCAGUUGAUACUGGCGUCCUUGAGUACGGUUGAGGCAGGCGGAAUUCGUGGUGUAGCGGUGAAAUGCUUAGAUAUCACGAAGAACCCCGAUUGCGAAGGCAGCCUGCUAAACCGCCACUGACGUUGAGGCUCGAAAGUGUGGGUAUCAAACAGGAUUAGAUACCCUGGUAGUCCACACGGUAAACGAUGGAUACUCGCUGUUGGCGAUAGACUGUCAGCGGCUUAGCGAAAGCGUUAAGUAUCCCACCUGGGGAGUACGCCGGCAACGGUGAAACUCAAAGGAAUUGACGGGGGCCCGCACAAGCGGAGGAACAUGUGGUUUAAUUCGAUGAUACGCGAGGAACCUUACCCGGGCUUGAAUUGCAGACGAAUUGCUUGGAAACAGGCAAGCCGCAAGGCGUCUGUGAAGGUGCUGCAUGGUUGUCGUCAGCUCGUGCCGUGAGGUGUCGGCUUAAGUGCCAUAACGAGCGCAACCCUCGUGUCCAGUUACUAGCAGGUUAUGCUGAGGACUCUGGACAGACUGCCAUCGUAAGAUGUGAGGAAGGUGGGGAUGACGUCAAAUCAGCACGGCCCUUACGUCCGGGGCUACACACGUGUUACAAUGGGGGGUACAGCAGGCAGCUACCGGGCGACCGGAUGCCAAUCCCGAAAGCCUCUCUCAGUUCGGACUGGAGUCUGCAACCCGACUCCACGAAGCUGGAUUCGCUAGUAAUCGUGCAUCAGCCACGGCGCGGUGAAUACGUUCCC